rnacentral:rRNA from 1 species
CAGUAGCCGCGGUAAUACGUAGGUCCCGAGCGUUGUCCGGAUUUAUUGGGCGUAAAGCGAGCGCAGGCGGUUAGAUAAGUCUGAAGUUAAAGGCUGUGGCUUAACCAUAGUAUGCUUUGGAAACUGUUUAACUUGAGUGCAGAAGGGGAGAGUGGAAUUCCAUGUGUAGCGGUGAAGUGCGUAGAUAUAUGGAGGAACACCGGUAGCGAAAGCGGCUCUCUGGUCUGUAACUGACGCUGAGGCUCGAAAGCGUGGGGAGCAAACAGGAUUAGAUACCCCUGUAGUCCCUGUCUCUUAUACA